AUGAAACCAUUGACUUCGAUG
rnacentral:snRNA from 1 species